ensembl:miRNA aca-mir-5444b aca-mir-5444b
GCAUGCUUCUUUCAAGCUCUGUUAGCAUGAACUAGGCUUCAAGAUUCCAAAAGCCUAGUUCAUGUCAAGAGAGUGUGAAGAAAGCAAGA